rnacentral:rRNA from 1 species
GAGGAAUAUUGCGCAAUGGGCGAAAGCCUGACGCAGCGACGCCGCGUGGAGGAUGAAGGUCUUAGGAUUGUAAACUUCUGUUAAGCGGGAAGAAAUGCGCUGUUUUAAUAGAACAGUGGGAUGACGGUACCGCUAAAGAAAGCACCGGCUAACUUCGUGCCAGCAGCCGCGGUAAUACGAAGGGUGCAAACGUUAUUCGGAUUAAUUGGGCGUAAAGGGUACGCAGGCGGUUCGUUAAGUCAACUGUUAAAUCUCCCGGCCUAACUGGGAACCAGCAGUAGAUACUGAUGAACUAGAGGAUGGAAGAGAGAAGUGGAAUUCUUGGAGUAGAGGUAAAAUUCGUAGAUCUCAAGAGGAACACCGAUGGCGAAGGCAGCUUCUUGGUCCAUUUCUGACGCUCAGGUACGAAAGCGUGGGGAGCAAAC